GCCAGCAUGGUGCAAUGGUUUGAGCGUUGGACUAUGACUCCGGAGAGUGAGGUUCAAAUACCUUCUUGGCC